rnacentral:rRNA from 1 species
UACAGAGACUGCAAGCGUUGUUCGGAUUCAUUGGGCGUAAAGGGUGCGUAGGCGGUGAGGUAAGUUGGAUGUGAAAUCUCAGGGCCUAACCCUGAAAGUGCAUCCAAAACUGCCUUGCUUGAGGACUGGAGGGGAGACUGGAAUUCUCGGUGUAGCGGUGAAAUGCGUAGAUAUCAGGAGGAACACCUGCGGUGUAGACGGCUUUCUGGACCAUUGUUGACGCUGAGACACGAAAGCGUGGGUAGCAAACAGG